UGACGAACGGAGAGGGACUUAUUAUUUGGCCCUCUCAAGGCUGAAACAGGGGUUCGAUUCCCCUAGGGAGCGCCA
rnacentral:tRNA from 3 species